GAAAUGCGAUAAGUAGUGUGAAUUGCAGAAUUCAGUGAAUCAUCGAAUCUUUGAACGCACAUUGCGCCCCUUGGUAUUCCAUGGGGCAUGCCUGUUCGAGCGUCAUUUGUACCCUCAAGCUCUGCUUGGUGUUGGGUGUUUAUCCCGUCUCCGCGCGUGGACUCGCCCCAAAGUGAUUGGCAGCCGGCGUACUGGUCCCGGAGCGCAGCACAUGUCGCGCAAACGAGUGCCUUGGUACGGCGGCGUCCAUAAGCCCCUCUCUCACGCUCUUGACCUCGGAUCAGGUAGGGAUACCCGCUGAACUUAAGC
rnacentral:misc_RNA from 1 species